CAUAUCAAUAAGCGGAGGAAAAGAAACCAACAGGGAUUGCCUCAGUAACGGCGAGUGAAGCGGCAAGAGCUCAAAUUUGAAAUCUGGCGCCCCGCCGGCGUCCGAGUUGUAAUUUGGAGAGGCAUCUUCAGGAGGGGGCCCGGCCUAUGUUCCUUGGAACAGGGCGUCGCAGAGGGUGAGAAUCCCGUUCUUGGCCGGACAGCCCCUCCGGUGUGCAGUGUCUUCUACGAGUCGAGUUGUUUGGGAAUGCAGCUCAAAAUGGGUGGUAAAUUUCAUCUAAAGCUAAAUAUGGGCGAGAGACCGAUAGCGCACAAGUAGAGUGAUCGAAAGAUGAAAAGCACUUUGAAAAUAGAGUCAAACAGCACGUGAAAUUGUUGAAAGGGAAGCGCUUGAGACCAGACUCGGCCAUGGACUAACAGCUGUCCCUUCUGGGCGGUGCACUUGUCCUUGGCCGGGCCAGCAUCGGUUGGGACGGCGGGACAAAGGCUGGGGGAAUGUGACUCCCUUGAGGAGUGUUAUAGCCCCCGGCGCCAUGCCGCCCGCCCCGACCGAGGACCGC
rnacentral:rRNA from 1 species